UUGCAAUACAACUUGUCAUCCAUGGGCUUCGAUUUUUGUCAAUCAUUCUUUUCGUCACUUUCUUUGUUAAUGGAAAGUUUUUUUCAUAGGAUGUUGAGAAUAAGUUGAAAAAUUUGUUGUGGGACUCUGUAGUGUUGUUUUCAGAAAGUACAUUUCCCCAUGAUAUAUUUUUAAUUGUAUUAGUAAAUGAUUGAAAAUUGGCAUCACUCAUAAUCCUCUUACAGGUAAAUUCAGUUUUUGAAGUUUUUUCAUGGUAAUUUUUUGAAUUUCGUAUAUGAACUGUUGGUAAAUGAUCAGAG